CAAUAGCGUAUAUUAAAGUUGUUGCAGUUAAAAAGCUCGUAGUCGGAUUUCUGGCAGGAGCGACCGGUCACACACUCUGUGUGUGAACUUGCGUUGUCUCUGGCCAUCCUUGGGAAGAUCCUGUUUGGCAUUAAGUUGUCGGGCAGGGGAUACCCAUCGUUUACUGUGAAAAAAUUAGAGUGUUUAAAGCAGGCUUAUGCCGUUGAAUAUAUUAGCAUGGAAUAAUAAGAUAGGACUUCGGAACUAUUUUGUUGGUUUGCGUUACGAAGUAAUGAUUAAUAGGGACAGUUGGGGGUAUUCGUAUUUCGUUGUCAGAGGUGAAAUUCUUGGAUUUCCGAAAGACGAACUACUGCGAAAGCAUUUACCAAGGAUGUUUUCAUUAA
rnacentral:rRNA from 1 species